rnacentral:rRNA from 1 species
UACGGAGGGUGCAAGCGUUAUCCGGAUUUACUGGGUUUAAAGGGUGCGCAGGCGGUUAUGUAAGUCAGUGGUGAAAUCUCCGGGCUUAACCCGGAAACUGCCGUUGAUACUAUAUAUCUUGAAUGCUGUGGAGGUAAGCAGAAUAUGUCAUGUAGCGGUGAAAUGCUUAGAGAUGACAUAGAAUACCUAUUGCGAAGGCAGCUUACUACGCAGAUAUUGACGCUCAUGCACGAAAGCGUGGGGAUCAAACAGG